rnacentral:rRNA from 1 species
AGGUAAGCUACUAAGAGCGAAUGGUGGAUGCCUUGACUGGUAAAGGCGAUGAAGGACGUACUAGACUGCGAUAAGCUACGGGGAGCUGUCAAGAAGCUUUGAUCCGUAGAUUUCCGAAUGGGGCAACCCAAUGUAUAGAGAUAUACAUUACCUAUAUAGGAGCGAACGAGGGGAAUUGAAACAUCUUAGUACCCUCAGGAAAAGAAAUCAAUAGAGAUUGCGUCAGUAGCGGCGAGCGAAAGCGCAAGAGGGCAAACCCAGUGCUUGCACUGGGGGUUGUAGGACUGCAAUGUGCAAGAGGUAAGUUUAGCAGAACAUUCUGGAAAGUAUAACCAUAGAGGGUGAUAGUCCCGUAUGCGAAAAACAAACCUUAGCUAGCAGUAUCCUGAGUAGGGCGGGACACGAGGAAUCCUGUCUGAAUCCGGGUCGACCACGAUCCAACCCUAAAUACUAAUACCAGAUCGAUAGUGCACAAGUACCGUGAGGGAAAGGUGAAAAGAACUGAGGUGAUCAGAGUGAAAUAGAACCUGAAACCAUUUGCUUACAAUCAUUCAGAGCCCUAUGUAGCAAUACAGGGUGAUGGACUGCCUUUUGCAUAAUGAGCCUGCGAGUUGUGGUGUCUGGCAAGGUUAAGCAAACGCGAAGCCGUAGCGAAAGCGAGUCUGAAUAGGGCGCUUAGUCAGAUGCUGCAGACCCGAAACGAAGUGAUCUAUCCAUGAGCAAGUUGAAGCUAGUGUAAGAACUAGUGGAGGACUGAACCCAUAGGCGUUGAAAAGCCCCGGGAUGACUUGUGGAUAGGGGUGAAAGGCCAAUCAAACUUCGUGAUAGCUGGUUCUCUCCGAAAUAUAUUUAGGUAUAGCGUUGUGUCGUAAUAUAAGGGGGUAGAGCACUGAAUGGGCUAGGGCAUACACCAAUGUACCAAACCCUAUCAAACUCCGAAUACCUUAUAUGUAAUCACAGCAGUCAGGCGGCGAGUGAUAAAAUCCGUCGUCAAGAGGGAAACAACCCAGACUACCAGCUAAGGUCCCUAAAUCUUACUUAAGUGGAAAACGAUGUGAAGUUACUUAAACAACCAGGAGGUUGGCUUAGAAGCAGCCAUCCUUUAAAGAAAGCGUAAUAGCUCACUGGUCUAGUGAUUUUGCGCGGAAAAUAUAACGGGGCUAAAGUAAGUACCGAAGCUGUAGACUUAGUUUACUAAGUGGUAGGAGAGCGUUCUAUUUGCGUCGAAGGUAUACCGGUAAGGAGUGCUGGAGCGAAUAGAAGUGAGCAUGCAGGCAUGAGUAGCGAUAAUUAAUGUGAGAAUCAUUAACGCCGUAAACCCAAGGUUUCCUACGCGAUGCUCGUCAUCGUAGGGUUAGUCGGGUCCUAAGUCGAGUCCGAAAGGGGUAGACGAUGGCAAAUUGGUUAAUAUUCCAAUACCAACAUUAGUGUGCGAUGGAAGGACGCUUAGGGCUAAGGGGGCUAGCGGAUGGAAGUGCUAGUCUAA